AAGCUCGUAGUUGAAUUUCGGGGUUAGUAGGUUGGUCAUCCUCCGGUAUGUACUGAUCUCACUGAUUCCUCCUUCCUUAUGAACCGUAAUGCCAUUAAUUUGGUGUUGCGGGGAAUUUGGACUGUUACUUUGAAAAAAUUAGAGUGUUUAAAGCAGGCUAACGCUUGAAUACAUUAGCAUGGAAUAAUGAAAUAGGACGUUCGAUCUUAUUUUGUUGGUUUCUAGGAUUGACGUAAUGAUUAAUAGGGAUAGUUGGGGGCAUUAGUAUUCAAUUGUCAGAGGUGAAAUUCUUGGAUUUAUUGAAGACUAACUACUGCGAAAGCAUUUGCCAAGGAUGUUUUCAUUAAUCAAGAACGAAAGUUAGGGGAUCGAAGACGAUCAGAUACCGUCGUAGUCUUAACCAUAAACUAUGCCGACUAGGGAUCGGAUGAUGUUAAUUUUUUAAUGACUCAUUCGGCGCCUUACGGGAAACCAAAGUGUUUGGGUUCCGGGGGGAGUAUGGUCGCAAGGCUGAAACUUAAAGGAAUUGACGGAAGGGCACCACCAGGGGUGGAG
rnacentral:rRNA from 1 species